GAUGAACGCUGGCGGCGUGCCUAAUACAUGCAAGUCGAACGCGAGCACUUGUGCUCGAGUGGCGAACGGGUGAGUAAUACAUAAGUAACCUGCCCUAGACAGGGGGAUAAUCUCUGGAAACGGGGACUAAUACCGGAGAGGUAAUCGGAAGGCAUCUUCUGGUCAUUAAAGGUUAAAAACACUGGUGGAGGGGCUUAUGGCGCAUGAGUUAGUUGGGGAGGUAACGGCCCACCAAGACGCGGAUGCGUAGCCGGCCGGGGAGGGGGAACGGCGACAUUGGGACUAGGACACGGCCCAGACUCCUACGGGAGGCAGCAGUAGGGAAUUUUCGGCAAUGGGGGAAACCCUGACCGAGCAACGCCGCGUGAGUGAUGACGGCCUUCGGGUUGUAAAGCUCUGUUGUAAGGGAAGAACGGUAGAUAGAGAAUAUCUAAGUGACGGUACCUUACCAGAAAGCCACGGCUAACUACGUGCCAGCAGCCGCCGUAAUAC
rnacentral:rRNA from 1 species